GGUCUAUUAACUUAGUUGAUUAGAGUGUCGUGUUAAUAACAUGAAAGUCACAAGUUUGAAUCCUAUAUGGGUCA
rfam:Glycine soja cultivar W05 scaffold1191_19, whole genome shotgun sequence.